GACAGAGGUGCCGAGCGUUUAGGCGGAAUCACUGGGCUUAAAGCGUGUGUAGGCGGGUCGUUAAGUGUCUUGUGAAAUCCCACCGCUCAACGGUGGAACUGCUGGGCAUACUGGCGAUCUUGAGCCACCUAGGGGCAGACGGAACAAGCGGUGGAGCGGUGGAAUGCGCAGAUAUCAGGAGGAACACCAAUAGCGAAGGCAGCUCGCUGGGACGUUACUGACACUGAGGCGCGAAAGCGUGGGGAGCGAACAGG
rnacentral:rRNA from 1 species